AGCAGCCGCGGUAAUUCCAGCUCCAAUAGCGUAUAUUAAAGUUGUUGCAGUUAAAAAGCUCGUAGUUGAAUUUCGGGAUCAAAGGAUCGGUCAUGCCUUGGUAUGUACUGGUUUUAUUGGUUCUCACCUUCUAAAGAACCAUAAUGUCAUUCAUUUGAUGUUAUGGGGAAUUAGGACUGUUACCUUGAAAAAAUUAGAGUGUUUAAAGCAGGCUUACGCUUGAAUACAUUAGCAUGGAAUAAUGAAAUAGGACAUCAGAUUCUAUUUUGUUGGUUUCUAGGAUCGAUGUAAUGAUUAAUAGGGAUAGUUGGGGGCAUUAGUAUUCAAUUGUCAGAGGUGAAAUUCUUGGAUUUAUUGAAGACUAACUACUGCGAAAGCAUUUGCCAAGGAUGUUUUCAUUAAUCAAGAACGAAAGUUAGGGGAUCGAAGACGAUCAGAUACCGUCGUAGUCUUAACCAUAAACUAUGCCGACUAGGGAUCGGAUGAUGUUAAUUUUAUAAUGACUCAUUCGGCACCUUACG
rnacentral:rRNA from 1 species